rnacentral:rRNA from 1 species
GAUCAUGGCUCAGGAUGAACGCUAGCUACAGGCUUAACACAUGCAAGUCGAGGGGCAGCAUGACCUAGCAAUAGGUUGAUGGCGACCGGCGCACGGGUGAGUAACACGUAUCCAACCUACCGGUUAUUCCGGGGAUAGCCUUUCGAAGAAAGAUUAAUACCGGAUAGUAUAACGAGAAGGCAUCUUCUUGUUUAUUUAAAGAAAUUUCGAUAACCGAAUGGAGAUGCGUCCAUUAGUUUGUUGGCGGGGUAACGGG